UUCCUCGUCUCGUCUGUUUCUGGGGCCUUCUCCCGCUCGCUGUCGCUCCGCCUACGUGCAGACUCCGCCCGGUUGCCUGAGUUGCGCAAUCCGUAGCCGGGGAAGCGCUACGUGGAGACACGACAGAGUGGCUGGCGAGCCUUGGAACUGGGGAACUAGAGGACGGCGGAUUCUCUACCAGCUGAGCCAAAAGGAUUGCCCCUGAGAUGGUACUUCAUCUGCCCCACCAGCAGCUUGUUCCGUCACUCUCUCAGGUUGGACAUUCAGAGGUGAUCGUGGCUAGACCACCGUUACCGAGAGGUCAUGCCGAGAGGCCAUGCGUUGUCUUCACCUCUGCCACCACGGUCACUGCACUCAAGUGCCUAUCAUGUUUCCACUCUUGCUUCCUUAUAGUCUAUUCUAGAUUUAAUAGCUAUAUUCUUUUUAAAAUAUAGAUCAGUUCAUUACUGUUCAAAACCCUGUACUAGCUUCCUAUUUCAAUCAGUAAAAUCUCAAAUCUUUACAUCGCUCCUCUCUCUCCAUCCUCUUUGUUACUUUUCUGAUGUCAUCAGCUAUAUAUUUCCCCAGGUGCAAUCCGCUGCAGCCUUGCUGUCCCUUGAGUUCACCAGGUCCACUGUAAUCUGGUCUUUUGAUCUCUUCUUCCCAAGACAGUCUUGUACUGGCUCUCUCCCUCACAUCCUCCAAUUAUUGCUCAAAUAUUCAACUUCUCAAUGAACCCUGCUCUGACCGCUUGACCACCCUAUUUGCUAUGACAAUGUCCAUUUCCCAAUCAACACUCCCUAUACUCCUUACCCUGCUCUCCUCCUCUUUGAAGACACUAUAUUGUUUAUUUAUUUAUUAUGUUUCUUUAGUGUCUCUCUCCCAUGCUAGAAGACAGGGAUCUUUGUCUGUUUUACUUGUUCAGAUUCUGUAAGCACCAGGAGGAGUGCCAGGAACAGAGAAAGAACUCAACGGUGAAAGGAAAAUUCAGCCACUCGUUAAAAAAAAAAGGCAUAUUAAAACAAGGUGAUAUUGUUAUGUGUUAAAAUGUAAAAGUAAGACUCACCUCCAAUAAUAUUAUAAAUUAUUAUAAUAUUAUAAAAUUAUAAAUAAUAAAACUGUAUGACAAAAAAUG